rnacentral:ribozyme from 1 species
UAUACAUAACAGCAAUAGCAGAAGCGUUCAUGUUGUGGUCCUGUCAGAUUUUAACAAAUUUGCAGAUUCUGCU